AGUUGUGAUCAAGCUGGAAAUGUAUCUAGCAAAGAUGGAAAGUUCUGAUAGGGUUAAUUUACCUGUCAAGCAUUAUGACACAUUACGAACUUUAUGGCAUUACGAAACAUUACGUAAUGUUUUUUAUUUGCAAUCAGUUUAUUCUUUCAGAAGCUCUUGCCAGAAAUUAAUUUUUUUAAGUAUGCCAGAAGAACAGGAUAAACAAUGAAUUUUGUCGAUCAUAUAAGUUACAUGAGCAAGAAUUUUUAUAAUUAUUGUAAUUACAAAUUACUUUUGUGAAUUUUUUUUAAAGGAUAUAUGCAAUGAUGAUUUGUAAAGUUCUUUGGAGAUCUUCGUUGCCAAUAUGGUAUGACUAAAAAAUUCCACCAGUGACAUUCAUAUUGCUUAUAGAGGUGAUGGUUUGGACCCCCACUACGUAGAAGCAAAAGAUCACCCUCAAGAAAAACAGAUAGUGUGUUAAAUUGCAUAGCUGAUGGAUCUACUGCUGCAAGAUUGUUGGAUACUAUCAGUGGAUAAAGUCCACUUGAAUUUUGAAGCAGCAAUGGUACAUUCAGAAAGCAAUAGGAGGUAAGUAAUAAUAGCAAAACAAGAUAAAUAGUAACAAAGCAUGAGGAAGCAAUAGAAAUCCUUAAGCUGUAGAAAUGCUAUGAAUAAGAGAAUAAUGUGAGAAGGAUAUGCUUGAUUGUUUCCAAACACAUGGUUAUCCUGUUUUCAUUGAUAACAUUUACCCUUGCUGUGCUCUAUGAGCUGUAUGUGAUUCCCAACAGCGUCAUGUAUCACUUCCCUUGUCAGCCCUAUCUACCGGUCGGUAGAUGGUGACAGCAACCGAAACAAAUGCCAGCAAAAAGAAAACAAAUGCCAAAGGUGAGACAUGCUGGAAAUGCUUGAUACGAAUGUGUAGGCGUAGUUUUGGAAUUCAGAGGUGCUAGCUGGCUGUUUGGAUUGCGCCAUCCAGCCAAUGUGGAUAUUCUGCCAUGUACUGUACAUGAUAAACCUAGUAUUCUUUGUCAACAUGGAAGAUGUUCCUCCUUGGUAA